rnacentral:lncRNA from 1 species
GAGUGUUCUUUUGUGGUAGUAUAGACUAACUACCACAUCCUAAUCCUUUGACCUUGCUAUACAAUCAUUCACUGCUAUCAAGCUAUAUUAUUACAUAUCAUCUAUAAAACUAACCACACUAAGGAUAAUAAUUGAGUUGUCGCAGUCCUUUUAACCAAGUCUUGCAUCUUCUACCUCUUGCAUGAAUAUGGAUUGCAAUUUCUCUGCACAAUUUGUUUUCAUCAAAAGGUUGUUUCUGAAAUUGUAUUGCAUUUCUCCCUCUCCAAAUCAAUGAAACAGUAGUA